GGUCGCGAAGCCGCGAGGUGGAGCUAAUCCCAUAAAACUAUUCUCAGUUCGGAUUGUAGGCUGCAACUCGCCUACAUGAAGCCGGAAUCGCUAGUAAUCGUGGAUCAGCAUGCCACGGUGAAUACGUUCCCGGGCCUUGUACACACCGCCCGUCACACCACGAGAGUUUGUAACACCCGAAGUCGGUAGGGUAACCUUUAUGGAGCCAGCCGCCGAAGGUGGGACAGAUAAUUGGGGUGAAGUCGUAACAAGGUAGCCGUAUCGGAAGGUGCGGCUGGAUCACCUCCUUU
rnacentral:rRNA from 1 species